rnacentral:rRNA from 1 species
AUUGAACGCUGGCGGCAUGCCUUACACAUGCAAGUCGAACGGUAACAGGUCUUCGGAUGCUGACGAGUGGCGCACGGGUGAGUAAUACAUCGGAACGUGCCCAGACGUGGGGGAUAACGAGGCGAAAGCUUUGCUAAUACCGCAUACGAUCUAAGGAUGAAAGCAGGGGACCGCAAGGCCUUGCGCGUUUGGAGCGGCCGAUGGCAGAUUAGGUAGUUGGUGGGAUAAAAGCUUACCAAGCCGACGAUCUGUAGCUGGUCUGAGAGGACGACCAGCCACACGGGGACUGAGACACGGCCCAGACUCCUACGGGAGGCAGCAGUGGGGAAUUUUGGACAAUGGGCGAAAGCCUGAUCCAGCAAUGCCGCGUGCAGGAUGAAGGCCUUCGGGUUGUAAACUGCUUUUGUACGGAACGAAAAGGCUCUGGCUAAUACCUGGGGCACAUGACGGUACCGUAAGAAUAAGCACCGGCUAACUACGU